UUAUUCUUUCAUUAUGCCUUGAUGUACAUAUGAACAUCUAUCUAGCUGUCAGGUUUUUUUUUUUUAAGUCUGUUCUGUGCCCUGAAAGGGAAGUUAAAAAAAAAAAAAAAAGUUGUGGCAUUUCACCACUCAACCUUCAAAGUGAGAGCUUUUCCAACAGUAUUCCAAAUAUGACAGCAGUCACCCAGUUGGGCUCCUCCAAUAAACUUAUUUAUUCUCACCAAGUCUCUCUUUCAUGGCCUUAAUAAUCAUUUCCAUUGGAAUUUCAAUAGUAUUAAAUAAAUUAUGAAUCACACAGGAAUAACUCCAACCUUUGUAGCAAGAAUACGAGCUUAAAUAUAUUAUGUAUUUUCUAGCUUAUUAUCCCCCUGGAAUUUUUGACAGAGAUGCCUGUACAGGAAAAUCCACUAGCUUCCUAAAAUGUGAACAAACUCUUAAAAACUUACUGAGGUAUAGAUUUAGAUCAUUUAAUUACAUUUUCAGUCAUAGAGGCUUAUUAGAAGUAGGUUAUUAGAUUCUGCUUCAAUGCUCUAUCUUUAAAAUGCUUAUUUUCCCAAUUUCCAUUGUUCUUAUGUUUUCCUCAGACUUCCACUGUUAGUAUUCUAAUGCAUCUUCACAAUUAUAUCUUUCUCUAUUAAAGCAGGACUUCUGGAGGUUUUCUCUGGAGUGGUGGUUUU
rnacentral:lncRNA from 1 species